rnacentral:rRNA from 1 species
UGGUGGCGACCGGCGCACGGGUGAGUAACGCGUAUGCAACCCACCUAUCAGAGGGGAAUAACCCGGCGAAAGUCGGACUAAUACCGCAUAAAACAGGGACACCGCAUGGUGAUAUUUGUUAAAGAAAUUCGCUGAUAGAUGGGCAUGCGUUCCAUUAGGUAGUUGGUGAGGUAACGGCUCACCAAGCCGACGAUGGAUAGGGGAACUGAGAGGUUGGUCCCCCACACCGGUACUGAGACACGGACCAGACUCCUACGGGAGGCAGCAGUGAGGAAUAUUGGUCAAUGGGCGAGAGCCUGAACCAGCCAAGUCGCGUGAAGGAAGAAGGAUCUAUGGUUCGUAAACUUCUUUUGCAGGGGAAUAAAGUGCAGGACGUGUCCUGUUUUGUAUGUACCCUGAGAAUAAGGAUCGGCUAACUCCGUGCCAGCAGCCGCGGUAAUACGGAGGAUCCGAGCGUUAUCCGGAUUUAUUGGGUUUAAAGGGUGCGUAGGUGGUUUGAUAAGUCAGCGGUGAAAGUUUGCAGCUUAACUGUAAAAAUGCCGUUGAAACUGUCGGACUUGAGUGUAAAUGAGGUAGGCGGAAUGCGUGGUGUAGCGGUGAAAUGCUUAGAUAUCACGAAGAACUCCGAUUG